rnacentral:rRNA from 1 species
GAUGAACGCUGGCGGCGUGCCUAAUACAUGCAAGUCGAGCGAACAGACGAGGAGCUUGCUCCUCUGACGUUAGCGGCGGACGGGUGAGUAACACGUGGAUAACCUACCUAUAAGACUGGGAUAACUUCGGGAAACCGGAGCUAAUACCGGAUAAUAUAUUGCACCGCAUGGUUCAAUAGUGAAAGACGGUUUUGCUGUCACUUAUAGAUGGAUCCGCGCCGCAUUAGCUAGUUGGUAAGGUAACGGCUUACCAAGGCAACGAUGCGUAGCCGACCUGAGAGGGUGAUCGGCCACACGGGAACUGAGGCACGGUCCAGACUCCUACGGGAGGCAGCAGUAGGGAAUCUUACGCAAUGGGCGAAAGCCUGACGGAGCAACGCCGCGUGAGUGAUGAAGGUCUUCGGAUCGUAAAACUCUGUUAUUAGGGAAGAACAAAUGUGUAAGUAACUAUGCACGUCUUGACGGUACCUAAUCAGAAAGCCACGGCUAACUACGUG